AUUGAACGCUGGCGGCAGGCCUAACACAUGCAAGUCGAACGAGUGGCGGACGGGUUAGUAAUGGCUGGGAAACUGCCUGCUGGAGGGGGAUAACUACUGGAAACGGUAGCUAAUACCGCAUUCCAUCGGAAGUGCCCAGAUGGGAUUAGCUAGUGGGGGGGGUAAAGGCUCACCAGGGCGACGAUCCCUAGCUGGUCGGAGUGGAUGAACAGACACACUGGGACUGGUAAACGGUCCAGACUCCGACGGGAGGCAGCAGUGGGGAAUAUUGCACAAUGGGGGCAAGCCUGAUGCAGCCAUGCCGCGUGUAUGACGAAGGCCUUCGGGUUGUAAAGUACUUUCAGCGGGGAAGCGUUACCCGCAGAAGAAGCACAGGCUAACUCCGUGCCAGCAGCCGCGGUAAUAC
rnacentral:rRNA from 1 species